GAUGAAGAACGUAGCGAAAUGCGAUACUUGGUGUGAAUUGCAGAAUCCCGUGAACCAUCGAGUCUUUGAACGCAAGUUGCGCCCGAAGCCAUUAGGCCGAGGGCACGCCUGCCUGGGUGUCACACACCGUUACCCUCGCGCCAACGUCCAUCGUUGGCCGCGGCGCGGGGCGUGCGCUGACCUCCCGCGAGCGGGGUCUCGUGGUUGGUUGAAAAUCGAGUUCGCGGUCGAGGGUGCCGUGAUGAAAUGGUGGAUGGGCGACGCCCGAGGCCAAUCACGCGCGACUCUGUCCGGCNNNNNCUCCUGGACCCCUUCGGCGUCUCCGGACGCUCUUUGGCGAGACCUCAGGUCAGGCGGGGCUACCCGCUGAGUUUAAGCAUAUCAAUAAGCGGAGGA
rnacentral:misc_RNA from 1 species